ACAGAAAGACAGGCAGGCAGACAGGCAGACAGACAGUUAGCUUUUCUCAGAGAGAAAGAGACGAAGAGGAUUUCAAUAAAUGUUGAACUGUUUCUUUAAGGUGUCGAGCUGUUUAUUGACGACUAUUAUAUAUAUAUAUAUAUAUAUAUAUAUAUAUAUAUACUAUAAUAUCUGAUCGUCUGACAGCUUUACAAGUACGUAUCUCCAACAUUUUAACUUUUUCAGAACGUGUUUUGUGAUUUUUAAAGUUGUGAAUGAAGUCGGAGACGUUUAAUUCUUCAACUGAUCUGAAAACAGAAAACUAAAACAUGUAUUUGGAGAUACACGGUUUUUAAGUUUGACUUUUUAUGUUUAUUCUUGUUUUCAUUGAAGAACAGCUGACUGAUAUUUAAAGAUCAGCUGGUCGAUAACAUUUAGGUAACUUUCCAUCAGUGGAACCAAACAGAGAAACAUGGUGCUAAACAGACGCCGGGAAACCUUAAAAACCUUAAAACAUUCCUCUAAUAUUCCACCAAUCAUUCCCAAACUCUCUAACUGUAUACCAGCCUUGAGGUUCCUCGUAGUUUAUACUACUGUUUCUACUACCCCUUACGUUCCCCUAGAGUUCCCCUUAAGUCCUGUCUAAGUUCCCCUCAAGUCCCCCUAGAGUUCCCCUUCUAAGUUCCCCUUAAGUUCCCCUAGAGUCCCCCUAUAGUUCCUCUCUAAGUUCCCUUCUAAGUCUCCCUAUAGUUCCCCUCUAGGUCCCCCUAUAAGUUUGCCCUCUAAAUCCCCCUUAAGUCCCCAUUAAGUCCCCUCUAAGUUCCCCUAGAGUUCCCCUCUAAGUUCCCCUUAAGUUCCCCUAUAGUCCCCCUUAAGUUCCCCUCUAAGUUCUCCUAAGGUUCUCCUAAUUUCCUCUCUGUUGUUGUAAUAAAAUAUAUUUGAUUUCCAGACCCAAACGAUAAUCUGCAGGUUUUGGGGAUUUGUUAAGUUUUAUUUUCAUUUGUUGUUUAAAAUGUGCAGUCAGUGUGUUUAUCGACUUCCUGUUGAUGUUUAUUAACUGCUUAUUAACGACACAUUAUUAAUAACAACUAUUAUCUUUAUUAUCUGCAACAACGACAGAAACUCGGAUCGAACGGUUCGACGAUGUUUCAGGUUUAAUAAAGUCGGUUUUGGUAUUUUAUUUCAUUCUGCUGCCAAAGAACAUUUAAUAAAGUCUGUAUGACCACU